AAGAAGUCAGGCCGGAUUAAGCCAUAGCACGGUAAGAGCUAUGCUGCCUGUGAGCCCCGUCUAAGGACGUAAAAUGAAGUCAGGCCGAAAGCCACGGUUUGAGCAAGCCGUGCUGCCUGUAGCUCCAUCGUGGGGAUGUAAAAACCUGGGAGGCUGCAAACCAUGGAAGCUGUACGCAUGGGGUAGCAGACUAGUGGUUAGAGGAGACCCCUCCCAAAACACAACGCAGCAGCGGGGCCCAACACCUGGGAAAGCUGUACCCUGGUGGUAAGGACUAGAGGUUAGAGGAGACCCCCCGCAUAACAAUAAACAGCAUAUUGACG
rnacentral:lncRNA from 1 species